rnacentral:rRNA from 1 species
GACGUAGGGCGCGAGCGUUGUCCGGAUUUAUUGGGCGUAAAGAGCUCGUAGGCGGCUUGUUGCGUCGACCGUGAAAACCCGCGGCUUAACCGUGGGCUUGCGGUCGAUACGGGCGGGCUGGAGUUCGGUAGGGGAGACUGGAAUUCCUGGUGUAGCGGUGAAAUGCGCAGAUAUCAGGAGGAACACCGGUGGCGAAGGCGGGUCUCUGGGCCGAUACUGACGCUGAGGAGCGAAAAGCGUGGGGAGCGAACAGG